CAACUGGUGCAGAGGAGGAACUGCCAGAAGGCAGGAAGACUCCUGGAGAAGAAGUUGCAGUGGUCCUAGUGAGCCCCCCUGGUGAGCUGGGGCCACAGGGGGGCUGCCUCCUCUGGGCCCUUAGGACCCAUGGGCCCUCCGCACCACAGCACUGGCUGCCAGGGGCCAUGUUAUGUUCCCCACUCCUUUCCUAGUGUCCUUCUGGAGGCAGCCUCUGCAGUGAAAAGCCGGACUAGAAGAGAGGUGGGCUUGAGACCUGCUCUACCAUUUACUAACUCUGGGGCCUGAACCAAGUUACCUCACCGCUCCGCGCCUCAGCUUCCUCAUUUGCAAAGCAGUGAUGACAAUCCUCUUUCAGGGUGCUUGUUUGGCAUGACACUUACCAAGCCUCUCCAUGCUUCCUAUGAAUGGCUGCAUCAUCCCGAAAUGCUCCCUGCUGAGUAGACUAUUCUCCCCGUGCUUUUAAGACUCCCACGUUGAUUUCAGGAGGAAGCAACCAAACUGCAGACUUGGCCCUCGAAGCUCUCUGGAGCUGUGCAGUCUCCGGGCCGGUGUCCUGCACUAUUGCUCAGAAGGCUGGGCGCCAUCUAGAGGGCAACAGCGGCAACAGCCAGAAGGCAAGGAAAGCCGCAGUGAUUCCCAAACAUAACCAAAGGGGAUGCGGGGAAGCCUGCUUCUGGCUCUGUGGGUGGAUUCUAUAAUAAAAUGAAAUGUGAGAUCAUAGAACCUUUUAAUUCUAGCAUGUAGGAAUUAUGAAAUUAUAGAAAAAUUAACUCUCUAAGCUAUAGG
rnacentral:lncRNA from 1 species